UGGUGCCCAGCAGCCGACGACAACUGCAUCAGUAUCGGUGUCGACGACUGUUGUUGUGCCUGUUGUUGCGCGACCGCUUGGACAGGCCCUCCGCGUUGGUGUCCAGCAGCCGACGACAACUGCAUCAGUAUCGGUGUCGACGUCUGUUGCUGUGCCUGUUGUUGCGCGACCGCUUGGACAGGCCCUCCGUGUCGAUGAACACCAGCCGACGACAAAUUCUGCGCUAACGGUUGUAGCGUCGGACCCAACGUUAACUGCUAUUUUGGCUAAAGUGAACGACAUGGACAAACGUUUGUUAAAACUGGACGUACGCUCCUCUUAGUCAAUAAUUAUGCUAAACAAUAUAACAGAAACGUUGCAACCGAUGAGGGGCAUUAGGAGAAACGCCCAAUAUUUCCCACUCCAAUUAAUUUCUAAUUUGGAGGAGAUGAAUGCGUAUGAGGCGAAGUUGGGGAAAACGACUUCGUCUUCUUUUCUUACGUGCAAAGAUUGGAUGUCGAGAUCGUAAGCCAAGAUGCCCCCAACAGGAUGCACGAAGCAAUUGAUCUCAUGUUCGAUAAAAAAUUUCUCCCGAAUUGCACCUGGGGAGGAUCUUCAGGGAAAAAGAUUGCUUUUCAACACUACGGGAAUAUUAUACGCUGCAUUAAAUCUGUUGCCACUAACACCGCGGGAAUACAAGUUAACGACGAGUACGUGGAGCAUUUUUUAAAAAUGAAACUUAUACAUGCCAAUGUCAGAACAAACAUACCCUGUGGGCAAAGCUACUCAAAUUCACUCGAUUUUAGCAUGUCGACUCUGUCUCUCCUUCAGUUGAAAAAUGCUCGUGCUCCUUCUUCUAGUCCUUCGCUGUUGAAAUGAACCGUCUCCUGCGACGCUCUACCUCUGUCUUCCCGCACUGUGCCCACACUCUAUAUUCGACAAGCGCGGCGCGCACGAGUUUGUGGGUCCGUUGCGGAUGGCUUAGCGGAGGGGUUAAGCGAUAACGAGCGGAGAAGUGCACAUACGCAAGCACACAGGUAGCGACGCCGUAGAUCGUGUUCAGUUUGUGUUAUCGUUUUGCAGCGAAAGACGCGUGCCGAGAAGCCAUCGAUAAAAUGCAAUAUAUUUGCUUCAAUUCUUUAUAAAAGUUCAACACCACAUUUCGAGCGGAAUUAAGGAGUACUAUCAUCUCGCCGUGUUUUCGAUGCAACGAAAAAUCGCUGAUUGAGGACACCUUGGAGCACACUAGCAGUUAAUUGGAGUGUUAUAAAGAGUUUAUGGUUAGAAAAAUGAAUUUACUGUAUAGAAUGUUAUAAAAAAGUGAGAAUAAAAUGCUGUGAAAAAAAUAUUUCGUCGUCUUACUACUUUUUUUUGAACACCACUGUACCAUUUCGAAGAGAAAUCAAAUCAAAACACUAGUGACGUCACGAUCGUGUAGUUCAUUUCGCCUUGUUUUGGUUGUACCUCUAAAGCCAGAACAAAGCGAGAACAAGGCCAAAAUUUUGUAUGGGAUUCUCUCUCAAAUUGCUCACAGGGUAGAACCUAAUAAAAAAACAUACUGUCACCCAAAAAGGAAACAUACAUAGACUUAAGCGGACAAUAAUAAUUUAUUUUAACAUUUGUGUCGGCGCCUACAGUUAGGCAACUUGAUUUCAACAAUAAUUUGUGCGUAUGUGUGUAAUGUAAAUAUGUAAAUGUGAAUAGGGAACUAGGAUAGAUGUAAGUGAAUUAUAAUAUAGAAAUUAGUCUAAGUUGAA